UGCUGGUGAGUUGGAGCUAGUUGGGAGUUGGGGUUAGGAGAUCUUUUUCGUUUCAUGCAAGCAACAACUAACGGCGGCCAUGCAUGCAAAAAAUUGUCUUUCUUUUGAUCUGUUUGGUUGGUGUCAUAUAUGCUUGCAGUGACUCAGGCCACCUCCUGUUUUCAACCAUUUUCUUUUCACAUGUGGUAGAUAUAAUGGGAGACCGACUGUGAAUAUUUUAUUCGGAUCUGUUCUGAAGUGGCAUAUAGAGGUUAACUAAAUAUAAGAUUUACUGGAUGUUAACCCAUGAAACUUCUUAGGGUCUGGAUGAGACCUCAAUAAAGCUUAAGGCAGGUCCCACGUGUACUAAAAAAAAUUAAUAAGUUUUUUAAGUGGCUUAAAAAAAAUUAAAAGCAUAUUUGUUGGGUUCCUCCUAAUGUUUUUGAAAUUUUUGCUGCUAAAAUAUACAAUACAAUUUUACAUUAGGAGUACUGGAUGAUUUUCAAAUCACCUCAACCACUUUUAUAUUCUCUCUCUCUCUUAUAUAUUUACAUUGAGAACCUUAUCUUCCUAGUCGUCGUCCUCGCGUCUUUCCACCUCUAAUAAUAUGCGGGCGUUUAUUUCCACGCGAUUGAAUCAAUUUUCCCAAGUGUGAAAUAUUAUGAGUUGAGAUAUCAAGAUUGAGAAGGGUUUUGGAAAAAUCUUGGAGAUACUCUAAGGUCUAUUUCUACAAGGGCAUUAGGGACAUAUAUAAUCCGUCUCAACUUUAAGGUGGGUCCCGUUGGUGCUAAGGUCUCUCCGUUUUGCAUAAAGCUAGCAGAGGCACUAAGUUAGGUCCCACAUAACAGCCACACAUGAGAUCGUGUCUCCUUCCAUCAAGAUCCUUGAUGGUCUCCACAAAAUUCCCACAGUACAUAUCCUAGUUUUGAUUCCACACUGACAUGCUAGUAUUAGCUAACAUGAGCUUAAACCACAGGAUUGGUGUUAACAUGAACAAUAAGUAAUUUAAUAUGAAUUAGCACUAACCAUAACACGAAGUUGUCAUCUGCCAUCAGUAGUUCUAGUAGACGAAAUUCAUCAAUGUCUUGGCCUACUCUUGAACGCUAGUGAGGAAGCCUGGUGGUCGCAUCGAUGAUGAUCUGACCUUCCCCGGACUACAAAGGAAUAGGGACAACAGUGCCAUGUUAGUGGUGGCGAGAGGCAGACCUUCCCGCCACUAGCUUGCAGCAUCACAUUAGAUUAGAUUCUUAGUGACGACAUUAGGUGGAUCAAAACCUAGGAAACAUAGCUCAAUUAAGAUGUUUGAUACCCCUAUCCUCGAUGCUCGUCACCUUGUCCAAAGAACAAUGGCAAGGAUGCUAUAAAACAUCAAGAUCAUCAAUGAUGUGCUCUAACCUAGGCCUCCCACAACACCAACGUUCGAACAAUAGGGAAGAAACAUAGGAAACAGGAGCAAAAGUCAUCUUAAGUUGAGGUCGGGUUCAUGGAUUGAAACUGGCCUUAGUUUUUUGUUGGUGAUUAGGGCCUCUUCAAGGUCUACCAAUAUAGUAUAUGAGGUCGACUCAACGGGGCUCGUAAUUUUGUAAAUUUCUUGUAUUCCAGAUGCCUUUAUGUAUACAAGUUACGAAGUGAUCCUUAAGGUGAACCCCAUUUUAAAAUACAAAAAGCCCACCUUUAUGUCUUACUUGUGGCUAAAGAGGUAGCCAAUAGUAAUUAAGGAAAUUGGUUGUUGAUACCUAGGGUUGAGGGUAGGUGAUAAUCUUAUGGUCAAUCUUCAAGGUUUUUUUUGUGUCUAAUGCCUCCUUUGAGGUUGACCCUUCUAAUGUAUAAAACAUUGACCUUUUAAGUUGGUAAAAACCUUUAUUUAUAAGGUUAGAUAUUAAUUUGCUUAGGGCCUCCUUUUUCAUAUAUUGAUGGUGCCUUUAACACUAAGUUUAGCCCUAGGGUUUAAUUCUCAUUAAAUAGGUUGUCAUGCCAACGCUUUUAAUGAGAUGGAAAAAAGGGAGAGAAGAAAGAUGUUUCAUCUAGAUGAAACAAAAUGAGUUGUUUCUGCCACAAUACUCUCUAACUUAUGUUGUUUGAAACAACAAAAUUAUACAAAAACAUUGUAAAGAUAAAAUACUAUUUUACACAUGUGGAUUUCUUGAAGCACUGUUAUAAAAUCUAAAUGGGCAGGCCCAAAUAUCUGAGGUGAUUCGUAGCUUAAAUUGUGAUAAAAAAAACGUAUAUGUAUUCUUGUAUUCCAUAAAAGGAAACAUUACAACACUCAUAUUCAAGCACACACAUACUCAUCUCUGUGAAUAUACAUGGACACAUUCUACUUAUAUGAAUUUAUAAAAGAGAUUAAGACAACUGAUAUUGUUGAGAUAAUAAUGAAAAUACGACCACUCAUAGUAAUGUGAAACUCAAGCUUAGGUAGACCACGUUUUACUAUAAGAAGAAAAUGAACCAGCUGAUUAUUCCCCAUGUGCAAAAUUAUUUUAUUUUGCAAUAGAUGUAGAUGUUAAUUUCUCUACCCACAAUACGAGGAAAGUGAUCCAUAAAGUGAGCCUUUUAAAAAUAUAAGAAGAAACAAAAUCCACUUUAUCUCGUCCUUGUGGCUAGCGAUGGAGGAAAUAGCAAGGAAUCUGUUUUUUUACCAUUUUAUCUAAAAGAUCGUAAUAUUGUGUAUCGUGUGCAAUUCUUUUAUUAAGGUUUAAGUGUAUAGAUCUGAAAUAAUUCCGAAAAACAACAAAUCCAUAAUCAUUCGAGGAUGAUUGUAUCCUAGAAUGCACACAUUAAUAUAUACAUGUUUAAGCAUGGUCACCAAAAAAACGAUGUAAAAGUAUUUUAUCUCUUCAAUGUCUUAUUUUCAUUUUGUUGUCUCAAACACAUAAGCUAGAGAAUAUUAUGGCAGAAAUAAAUACUCAUUUAGUUAGUGUAACUAAAGCAUCUAUGUUAAAAUCCUCUAAGAAACACGAAUUUUUUGUACACUAUAAUUCCAUGCACUAAGCACUAAACACUAAACACUAAAGAACACAUGAUUUUAUCUUACAAAUAUGUGGCAUGCUUGCUCGAAAAAUUCAGGCAUAGUUAGGAUAAGUGUAGUAGUUUUUUUGUAAGUGCUAAAUCAAUAGUCGACUAUCGUCGGAUUUUUGGAAUGUAGGCAUAUCAUUCACUACCUUUUGUUUCAAAUACGAUGCAAUUUUUAGGAUCAAACCGAGUUAAACUUGUUUAAGUUCAAUUAAAUUUAUAUAUUUCUUAAAUACACAAAAUUUUUGCGCAUUUUGUAUUAAGAUAGAAAAUUUUGAUAUAAACAUGUAUGACUUUAAAUAUGCACUAGUUUCGGACGGAGGGAAUGAAAAUGAAUGAAUAUACGUAUAUAUAGGACUAAACCACUAAUGAUGAUGAUCGAUCGGUGUUAUUAUGCAAAGAAGCAACGUUAUCACGAGCAAAUGAACAUCAUGUACAUAUAAUCCCACGCUGCGCCUCCACGGUCACCAAGAAGACUUGAUAAUAAAAUUACACAUGGAUCAUCUAUCAAACCAUGCAUGCAUGCAUGGCGCCACCAGCAGCUAACUUAUAGUAAUAAUUCAUAUAAGAAGAACACGCAAGUCCUUUAAGCAUGCGACGGAGGAUUAGAUGUCGAAGGAUUCCUUGCCGGUGAACUUGACCUCGAUGGGGCUGACGUUCUUGCCGAUGCUGCGGAAGUUCUGCCCAACGCCCUGCCUGCCGGCGUUGACCUUCUCCGGGUAGACGCCGUCCUUGGGGUGGAGGUACUGCACCUCGCCGUUGGGGAAGACGCGGUAGAACUGGUAGUUGAUCUUGUACUUGGAGCGCAGCCUGGUGCCGAGCGCCAGGCACUGCUCCUUGCGCGCCAG
rnacentral:lncRNA from 1 species